rnacentral:rRNA from 1 species
UGCGGAGGGUGCAAGCGUUAUCCGGAUUCACUGGGCUUAAAGGGUGCGUAGGCGGGCAGGUAAGUCAGUGGUGAAAUCUCCGGGCUCAACCCGGAAACUGCCGUUGAUACUAUCGGUCUUGAAUACCGUUGAGGUGAGCGGAAUAUGUCAUGUAGCGGUGAAAUGCUUAGAUAUCAAGAGGAAAACCUGAGGUGAAGACGGGUGGCUGGGCUGACACUGACGCUGAUAGCGCGAAAGCCAGGGGAGCAAACGGG